rnacentral:rRNA from 1 species
CCUACGGGAGGCAGCAGUGGGGAAUAUUGCACAAUGGGGGAAACCCUGAUGCAGCGACGCCGCGUGAGUGAAGAAGUAAUUCGUUACGUAAAGCUCUAUCAGCAGGGAAGAAAAUGACGGUAACUGAGUAAGAAGCCCCGGCUAACUACGUGCCAGCAGCCGCGGGAAUACGUAGGGGGCAAGCGUUAUCCGGAUUUACUGGGUGUAAAGGGAGCGGAGACGGUGCGCCAAGUCGGGAGUGAAAGCCCAGGGCUUAACCCUGGGACUGCUUUGGAAACUGUUAGACUAGAGUGCUGGAGAGGGAAGUGGAAUUCCUAGUGUAGCGGUGAAAUGCGUAGAUAUUAGGAGGAACACCAGUGGCGAAGGCGGCUUACUGGACAGUAACUGACGUUGAGGCUCGAAAGCGUGGGGAGCAAACAGGAUUAGAUACCCCUGUAGUC